CCACUUUUCCCCCCAUUUUUUCCUUCUUUCCUCCUUUCUUUCUUUCUCCCUCACCCUUCAUUCACGCACACACACACAGCAGCCCUUUUUCCCAUUUUCCCUCACUCUUUCUCCUUCCACAAACCCACACACAUGGCCUAGAUUGGGAGAGAAAGGGGUGCAGAUUGAGAGAAAGAGAGAGAGGGGUACUGCUGGCUGGGAGAAAGAAAGAGAAAGAAGAAGGAGAAGAAGAAAGAAGAAAAAGAAAAGAAAAGGGAAGUGACGAAAUAAGAGGGGGUUCCGGCUAGGGGUGCUUGAGAGGUAAUCGCAAGUGGGUCAAGGUUGCUAAGAGAACCCAAGCGGAUCAAGACGAUGUUGUUGAUGCAGGUACAGGGACCCUAGAUGAUGAUUCAGUGGCUAGGUAUCUGGGUUACCAAGGUGCCUGAGGCCUUGACACAUUGGGUGUUUAUUUUGUUGGACUAGUUGAUAGCCCUCUUUUGUAGAGCAUUCAUGUAUAUGCUUAGACAUUAUCAUUUUGUAUAUGGCUCGUGUCGUAUGUGACACUUUUGUAUAGCCAUUCUUUUGUAUGUAAAACAUUAUUCACCUAGAUGUAUGGUCAGCUCAAAUGUCUUAAGUUAUGUCUAUGUUAUUUAU